rnacentral:rRNA from 1 species
CAGUCGCCACGGUAAUACGGAGGGUGCGAGCGUUGUCCGGAUUUAUUGGGUUUAAAGGGUGCGUAGGCGGCCCGUUAAGUCCGGGGUGAAAGCCCGUUGCUCAACAACGGAACUGCCCUGGAUACUGACGGGCUUGAGUACAGACGAGGUUGGCGGAAUGGACCGAGUAGCGGUGAAAUGCAUAGAUACGGUCCAGAACCCCGAUUGCGAAGGCAGCUGACUAGGCUGUUACUGACGCUGAGGCACGACAGCGUGGGGAGCGAACAGGAUUAGAUACCCCCGUAGUCCCUGUCUCUUAUAC